AGUGGCGGACGGGUGAGUAACGCGUGAGAAUCUGCCUUGGGGUCGGGGACAACCACUGGAAACGGUGGCUAAUACCGGAUAAGCCGAUUGGUGAAAGAUUUAUUGCCCGAAGAGGAGCUCGCGUCUGAUUAGCUAGUUGGUGAGGUAAGAGCUCACCAAGUCAGCGAUCAGUAGCUGGUCUGAGAGGACGAUCAGCCACACUGGGACUGAGACACGGCCCAGACUCCUACGGGAGGCAGCAGUGGGGAAUUUUCCGCAAUGGGCGAAAGCCUGACGGAGCAAGACCGCGUGAGGGAGGAAGGCUCUUGGGUUGUAAACCUCUUUUCUCAGGGAAGAAGCUCUGACGGUACCUGAGGAAUCAGCCUCGGCUAACUCCGUGCCAGCAGCCGCGGUAAUACGGAGGAGGCAAGCGUUAUCCGGAAUUAUUGGGCGUAAAGCGUCCGCAGGUGGCGAUUCAAGUCUGCUGUCAAAGCACGGGGCUUAACUCCGUAAAGGCAGUGGAAACUGAAUAGCUAGAGUGCCGUAGGGGUAGAGGGAAUUCCCGGUGUAGCGGUGAAAUGCGUAGAGAUCGGGAAGAACAUCGGUGGCGAAAGCGCUCUACUGGACGGCAACUGACACUCAGGGACGAAAGCUAGGGGAGCGAAUGGGAUUAGAUACCCC
rnacentral:rRNA from 1 species